rnacentral:rRNA from 1 species
AACGAACGCUGGCGGCAUGCCUAACACAUGCAAGUCGAACGAGACCUUCGGGUCUAGUGGCGCACGGGUGCGUAACGCGUGGGAACCUGCCCUUAGGUUCGGAAUAACUCCCCGAAAGGGGUGCUAAUACCGGAUAAUGUCUUCGGACCAAAGAUUUAUCGCCUUUGGAUGGGCCCGCGUUGGAUUAGCUAGUUGGUAGGGUAAAAGCCUACCAAGGCGACGAUCCAUAGCUGGUCUGAGAGGAUGAUCAGCCACACUGGGACUGAGACACGGCCCAGACUCCUACGGGAGGCAGCAGUGGGGAAUAUUGGACAAUGGGCGAAGGCCUGAUCCAGCAAUGCCGCGUGAGUGAUGAAGGCCUUAGGGUUGUAAAGCUCUUUUACCCGGGAUGAUAAUGACGGUACCGGGAGAAUAAGCGCCGGCUAACUCCGUG